rnacentral:rRNA from 1 species
UACGUAGGGUGCGAGCGUUGUCCGGAAUUAUUGGGCGUAAAGGGCUCGUAGGCGGUCUGUUGCGUCAGGAGUGAAAACUCGGGGCUUAACUCCGAAACUGCAUUCGAUACUGCCGUGCUUGAGGACUGGAGAGGAGACUGGAAUUUACGGUGUAGCGGUGAAAUGCGUAGAUAUCGUAAGGAAGACCAGUGGCGAAGGCGGGUCUCUGGACAGUUCCUGACGCUGAGGCACGAAGGUCAGGGGAGCAAACGGG